rnacentral:rRNA from 1 species
UGCGUAGGCGGCUGAAUAAGUCAGAGGUGAAAGCCUGCCGCUUAACGGUAGAAUUGCCUUUGAUACUGUUUGGCUUGGAUGGGGUUGAGGUUAGCGGAAUGUGACAUGUAGCGGUGAAAUGCAUAGAUAUGUCAUAGAACACCAAUUGCGAAGGCAGCUGGCUAGACCUACAUUGACGCUGAGGCACGAAAGCGUGGGGAGCGAACA